AAGACGCACCGGGGGUGCCUGUAUCUGUUUCUGUCCUGGCUAUUUGGCCAGGAUGUGGGCAGAUGCUGGCUGAGAAAGUCCCUUUGAACCUGAACAGGAUAAUGCCUGCGUAGGGAGUGUGCAUUUUGUUUUCC
rnacentral:ncRNA from 1 species